GGGGUGAUGGCCUACCAAGCGACGACGGGUAGCCGGCCCGAGAGGGUGAUCGGCCACAUUGGGACUGAGAUACGGCCCAGACUCCUACGGGAGGCAGCAGUGGGGAAUAUUGCACAAUGGGCGGAAGCCUGAUGCAGCGACGCCGCGUGAGGGAUGACGGCCUUCGGGUUGUAAACCUCUUUCAGCAGGGACGAAGCGUAAGUGACGGUACCUGCAGAAGAAGCACCGGCUAACUAUGUGCCAGCAGCCGCGGUAAUACGUAUGGUGCGAGCGUUGUCCGGAAUUAUUGGGCGUAAAGAGCUCGUAGGCGGCUUGUCGCGUCGGUUGUGAAAGCCCGGGGCUUAACCCCGGGUCUGCAGUCGAUACGGGCAGGCUAGAGUUCGGUAGGGGAGAUCGGAAUUCCUGGUGUAGCGGUGAAAUGCGCAGAUAUCAGGAGGAACACCUGUGGCGAAGGCGGCUUGCUGGGCCUUUUCUGACGCUGAAGUGCGAAAGCGUGGGGAGCAAACAGGAUUAGAUACCCUGGUAGUCCACGCCGUAAACGGUGGGUAC
rnacentral:rRNA from 1 species